GAUUGAUAUGAUCAUGAACUUUGACCGGUCACAUGUCCAGCGCAGUGUGUGAGGAAGUGAUCUGUCCAGUAAGAGUGUGUGUGUGUGACGGGUCUCCUCUGUUGCAGCGCGUGCGGGACGUGUGUGUGGAGUUCAGUCACCCGGAUCUGCUGGAGUUUUACACACAGAUGGAGAGGAUUCAGACGCAGCUGGACUCGCUCACGUGACCUGCGUCUGGAGUGUGUGUGUGUGUGUGUGAUGGUGAAGAGGAUCACACACACCUGAUGAUGAUGUCAUUAAACAUGUUUCAUGUUG